AGUGAACGCUGGCGGUAGGCCUAACGCAUGCAAGUCGAACGGCAGCACAGAGGAGCUUGCUCCUUGGGUGGCGAGUGGCGGACGGGUGAGGAAUACAUCGGAAUCUACUCUGUCGUGGGGGAUAACGUAGGGAAACUUACGCUAAUACCGCAUACGACCUACGGGUGAAAGCAGGGGAUCUUCGGACCCUGCGCGAUUGAAUGAGCCGAUGUCGGAUUAGCUAGUUGGCGGGUAAAGGCCCACCAAGGCGACGAUCCGUAGCUGGUCUGAGAGGAUGAUCAGCCACACUGGAACUGAGACACGGUCCAGACUCCUACGGGAGGCAGCAGUGGGGAAUAUUGGACAAUGGGCGCAAGCCUGAUCCAGUCAUACCGCGUGGGUGAAGAAGGCCUUCGGGUUGUAAAGCCCUUUUGUUGGGAAAGAAAUCCAUCUGGUUAAUACCCGGAUGGGAUGACGGUACCCAAAGAAUAAGCACCGACUAACUUCGUGCCAGCCGCCGCGGUAA
rnacentral:rRNA from 1 species